UAAUUACGAACACCUGACCUGCAGUGCAGCAGAAUUCAGAGAGAUGUAACUUACUCCAGAGACGCACUAACUUGCACAUCAUUGAAUAGAAAAGGCUUUGUCCAUGUCCAGUUGAGGGGCAUCAAGAACAAGCAGAUGGCCUAAACCUGUGUCAGCCUGGACAGACUGCCGUUCUGCUACUCCACACCAAGGCUUUUGUAUGGAUGUCUGACUACUACUGUGUUCUCUAAAGGUUUUCUGGAAGCUCCAUUUGAGGGCAUCAAGGACCUA